AUGGUGCAGGACUAUGGAGUUUCGAUUCUACUAUUUACAUCUCACUACUUAGUGGACAUCGAAGAAGAAAAAAUAGGUCGAGUGUUAAAGCUCGAUUCUCUGAAAAAUGGCAACAUAUGGAAAGAUAUGGAUGUUCUGCUUUUCAAUACUUGGCUUUGGUGGUACCGUAGUGGACAAGAGCAACCGUAUAUGUUUAAUAAAGUCAUUCAUUUUUGUAAAUUUUAUGUGAAAAACAAGAAGUAGAAUGAGUUUAAAAUAAGCUUGUGAUUGCCUUAUUAUUGAUUGUAGAUGGGAUUAUAUUGAAGAUGGUGGCAAGGUUCUCAAGGACAUGGAUCGUAUGGUUGCUUUUCGCAAGGCUUUGACAACUUGGGGCAGGUGGGUUGAUACAGAUGUGGAUCUUGGAAAAACCAAAGUCCUUUAUCAAGGAAUUUCUCCUGCCCAUCAUAAGUAAGUUACUUUCCUUUCUCUAAAGGACAAAGUUUAGUUACAAACUAGUUUUGUAAACAAUUGCUACAAACUCUUACUAAAAAGUUAACAUAGUUAUAUAUUUUAAAAUUUUAAUUAUUUGAUUGCAUUUUCUUUAUAUUCUUAACAUGUAAGUCAAAUUUCAUUCAAAUCAGAUGUUAUUUACUAUUUAAUCAUAAACUUAUUUUUUAUGUAUAUUUAAGACUACAAAAACUUCAAAUUUAAAUAUUUGAUUGAUGACAUAGAUUUUAAUUUUUAAUUUUCUUGAAAUUUUGCAAAUAAAGGAUAUAAUAUGAAAAUGUAAUCUGAUGGUGGAUUUUUCAAAAUCCACAUCAAAAAAAAAAAAAAAAAAAAAAAAAAAAAAAAAAAAAAAAAAGGCCUUAAAGUUUAGGUAAGUUCUAUUUUGGUUCUGUAAUUUAAAAGUUUGAAUUUAGUUCCUAAAAUUUCGAAAUAGGAACAAGUUCAUCUCUUUGUUUAUAGCAUUGGUUUGAUAUUGGUUCUUGAAAUAUGUUGUUAGUUCAAAUUUGGUCCCUUGGUUGAUUUGAUUUGAUUUGGUCCCUCAAAAAAUGGGGUGCUUCAGUGUUCCAUUAACCACAUAAUAGAAAAAUAAACUGAGUGACCAAAUUAUUCUAUUUUCAAAAUUCUAAGGACUAAAUAAAAAUAUUUUAUAUUUGAAGGAUCAAAAUUGGACCUACACCAAAAUGAUUAAUCCAAUUUUGAAAACUGACAUUGCAUUAGCAAAUCAUAGUUUGAUGACUGUUUGUUUCUUGUGUAAAAAUUAGUGGCACUGAUUGGAAUGAGCCAGGAGUGACAAACUGCGCAAAGGAGACAACACCAAUAAACGGGUCAACUUACCCAACUGGUUUGCCAACAGCAGAAUAUGUAGUAAAGGAUGUCUUAAGUACAAUAGAGAAACCUGUUCAGUUGUUUGAUAUAACCACUCUCUCACAACUAAGAAAAGAUGCACACCCUAGCUCUUAUAAUGCAUUCAAGGGCAUGGAUUGCACCCAUUGGUGUGUUGCAGGGCUUCCAGACACCUGGAAUCAACUUUUAUAUGUAGCUCUCACUAAUUGAAAGAUUGUUAGAUCUACAAAAACAAUAAAAAAAAGUGUAGCCAUGUAAGCUGGAAAGUCAAGUAGUCUCCAAUAAAAAGAUAUAUGUGUGGUUGAAUCACAUAUGUAUACAUGGUACAAUUAUUAAUAUGAAAAAAAAAAAAAUGACAAAGCUAAAAGACAAGGUACCUGCUGACAUGAUUCGUGAACAUAUGAAAUUUCUUAAUUUUAAAAUCCCUAUUACAACAUUUUUGUUAAGCAGAGGGAUGCAAUACUUGCACCAUUUUUUCCAAAGGCCAUUUGAAUAGUAAAACAACAUGGCUCGCAAUUGAAUGUGUACGGAGCCAUUUGAUGUAUUGGUGACCGAACAACUAUUGAGGAUAUAUAUUUUUUACAAUGUUUAAGAAUACAUUAGAAGUGGUAAACCGCAUUUUAUGGUACUUGGACACACACAUUUACCCCUCGUAAUAACCAUAUAGGAUGGCAUAUGUACCUAUAUGAUCCUUGUGACUCAUUUUGUAAGCAGUAAGAAUUAAAUAAAUGAUAAAAUACUAUUUUGGUCUCUAAAUUUUGUCAAAAGUUUGUUUUUUCAUUCAUGAAUUAUUGAAAGUUUUUUUUUUAAUAAAUUGCAAAAUGCAUCCCUAAAGUUUGGGGUUAUUUGGAUUUUACACCAUGAAGUUUGAGAAAUUAAAUUUUACACCCUUAAAUUUGAUUCCAUUAGCAAAAUCCCACCCUCCAUUAGUUUAGGAUGUUAAGAUACAUGUUAGCAUGAUGAUAUGCAUUUAUUUUUGCCAAAUCAGCGGCUAUUCAAAACGGUGAGUUUCUCUUUUCCUUCUCUUCCUCUUAGUUUGUCUCUUUCGCUUUUUUUAUUUUGCUCUAUUUGAAUUUGUUAUCUAUAAUAGGCCCCUGCACCACCUAGGGACAACUUUCGGACCAUUCGGUUUGGUUCCAGUCAUUUCGGCCCGCUUAGGAAAAUAAAAGGCAGGAAUGCAAAUUUCGGCCUAAACUCAUUCUUUACAUGAUGCUCACAAUUCUCAAUUUAGAUGUUAACAGAACCAAAUUCCAAAAAAAAAUAAAAUAAAAUAAAAAAUGUUAAUGGUUCAUUCACAGUUUCACACAUUUAAAGCUUUAUUUAAAAAAAAAGUCAAUAACUCAAAAUAAUUAAGAAGAGAGGAGGAUUAAUAACAUUGUCAGUGUCGACAUGUCUUUGUUUUUUUUUUGCUGUUGCUUUCUUCUCUUUCUCCACUGCGCCGCUUGCUUCAAACUUCUCUUCACGUUUUCCUCACUUCGCGUUUUGGUAAAGUUCCUGGAUGAUUCUACCUUCUACAGUUCUACGUAGAGCCUUUUAGGGGUCAAAUUUUUUUUUUUUUUUUUGAAAAGGAAAUGUAAAUUUGACAACACACAGAAAAUGGGGAUAAAGGCACAAUAUCACACAACUCACCCACAACAAAAGCCAAUAACUCUUGUUGGGAGUGUGAAGGCUUUAUACCUGAGGAUGAACUCAUUCUUAGGCGAUGUGGGACAAGCCCACGUUUCUUUUCUUUUUUUUUUUGAGAAGGAAAUGCAAAUUUGACAACACACACACAGGGAAUGAGGACAAAGGCACAAUAUCACACAACUCACCAACAACAAAAGCCGGUAACUCUUGUUGGGAGUGUGAAGGCUUUAUACCUGGGAGUGUUAAGGGUCAAAAUAAUACUAUUAUUUUAUAGCUUUUUUAAUAGUCAGUGUGAUGGCUUAGCACCUAUUGGAUAGCAAGAAGUAAGUAAGAGCUGUGGUGUGGAGCUAAAAAUUUAGUUAUUUGGCACUACAAAAAGUUACUCUAUUUAUUUUACCUACACACAUGCUGCAGCAGUAAAUUUAUUUUAGUUUUCAACACAAUAAAAUAAUAUAAAUAUCACAAUAAAAUAAGAUAUUUACUACAAUAAAAUAAUAUAUUUACUACACACAAUCAUCACAGCCACAUGCACACAAUCGGGCAGGGAAUAAAUUUUUUAUUUAUUUAUUUAUUUAUUUUUUUAGCUUUAAGCUACAGGGCACAUCCAUAGAUAGAGGUGCACUGUAGCAAUGAAGCUAAGAAAAUAGGUUUAGCUCCACAGUUGUAUGCUUAUUUUUGUGUUUUGGUGAAGCUAAAAUAGCUAUAUAGCUUUUUAGCUCCACUGCUACAAGUGCUUUUACAAUAUUAGAGUAUCCACAGCAGUGGAGCUAUAUUUUAAGUUAUUUGGCACCACAAAAGUUAUUUUAUCUAUUUUACUUACUCACAUGCUACAGUAGUGGAUCUAUUUUAUCUUUUAACAUAAUAAAAUAAUAUAAAUAUCACAAUAAAAUAAUAUAUCUCCCACAAUAAAAUAAGAAAAAUCCACAACCACCACAAAACAAACCCAUAACAACCCGAAAAUCCAGCAACCCAAUUGCUGCACACCCGGAUGAACUCCCCGACCGAAUACCUAUCAAAGUCAGGAAGGCAUGAUAUCAGCCGUACCCGUGUAUCCCUAACCUUUAAAUAAUAGUUCGUACUCUUAUUCCCACAUAAACUGUACAUGUGGUUUAUAUCAUGAUGGUUUAAUUGCAAGCUGAAUGUAUGGUUCAACCUACUAAUGCAACUAAUUACCUGGUAAAAAUUGGGGGGAAGUUGGUUGGGGUACAGCCUGUAAUACCUAAAUGUAUCGAGUAAGAGAGGGUCCAUGGAAAACCUAACCCCACCUUCUAAAAUCAUCAUUAAGGGAAAGAAAGCUGUUUGUCCCCUUCUGUGGAGCUUGAAUUCGCUCUCAUGGCAAUACGCUACCUCCACAUCAUCAGGAAUAUCAAAGUUUUUCCUAAAUGUGGCUAAAGACACCGCAUUGUUCAGAAGAAAAGCAUAGCCCAUCUUCAAGUCUAAAAUUGAAGAAAGAAGCUGAAGUAAAAGGAAGAGGUAGGGAACUUACUUUAGUCUCUAGGGAAGAAUGGGGGCUCUGGACUGACAAGUAAGCGCACAGAUGAAUGCUUGGUAGAGAGAAAAUUCAAAAAGUGGAGUGUGAAAAAAUGAAAAGAUGGUUUGUAACAGGCUAUUUAUAGAGGCCUGAAAGGGAAGAACGGCGUCCAAUCAACCAUAAUGGGGCUCAGUUAGCGAGGUAACUUUACGUAUGCUGAUGCCAACUGACAUGCGCGUCUUGUCGGUUCGUGAACCGUUAGGCAAUGAUGACGGUUGAGCAAAACGGCUCGAAGCAGCAUGCCUUUUGAGGGCGCAUUAAUGGGUUUUUGAAACUGCCCAAACUUCCGCCUGUUAACCUUCUUUAAACGAAAAUGCCUACUGGGUUCCUUGAUUCCUCCCGUUAGCUGGGCCUGAAUUAAGGGGGGGCUAAUGUACGGCACCAGGGUGCCCAGACCCAUUUGGGCCUUAAGCUCUGGCCUAACAGCAUGGCCUAUGGCCCCAAUCUCUUUCUACCUAAAAUCACAGUCCAAACCCACACAAACUCCAGGCCCAAGUUUCAUCACUUGAUUCUUGCUCGGCAAACCUUCUUCAAGCAAUGAAGAAAGAAUGACGUUCAAACACACCAUCCCUUGCAUACCUGGCAGUGCCUUAGGGAAUGUCGCUGUCGAGCAUAUCUACAGGAGUGGAGAUCAGUUCCAAGGCCACUCUCACAGCAUUCCACUCCCACCUAACCACCCACUUAUGAUUAAUGAUAUUUGACCUCCCAUUGCACUAACCAUGAAAGUAAUCAUAGUCUCUCCACUAGUUUAGAGCUAUAAAUAUGAGAAGUUGGAAGAAGAAGGGAGGCUGUUGAAAGGUUCACAAGAAAUAGAGAAUAGAGAGAAAAGUGUAACUGAGAGAGAGAGAGAGAGAGAGAGAGAGAGAGAGAGAGAGAGAGAGAGCUUCAUUGAGCCUCUGUGCCGAGAACAAUCUAUAGUAGGAAAUCCUAAACCCACAUUACAAAUAAGUUGUGAGCCCAAGUGAGGUUAGGCCCAAAAGCCUCAUCUUCUAGCGCGCAUAGUUAUUAUGUGAAAUGUUAUAUAAUUCUACAACAGUUUCUCUUUCUUCAUACACAACAAUCUCCAUCCACUCUUUUUCUUCAUCCUCAGGAUAAGUAAAAAAAAAAAAAAAACUAAAUGCAAAAUGAAUAAUGUCAGUGUAAAUUUACACAAUUACUCUAACAAAUUUGUAAAUUUACAUAAUUAUAUACUGAUUGAUGUGAGUCCUUUUUAGGAAAAACUACAUAAGUUUUACACAUUUUUUCUAUUAUACGCCCAUUGAUGUGAUUGUUCUAAGAGUGUGUAGGCCGAGUGGCCGAGAUGGUUACGUGGGUGACAAUUCUUUUUUCUAGUCAACCAACAUCUUCAAUCGUGCCAAAACGUAUGAAAAGUUGGAAAAUGUUUUACAGCAUAACAAAAAAAUAUUUAAAAAAAAAAAAAAAACCCCGUAGUAAUCAUAAUUAAAUUAAGGAGGCAGUUAAUCAGGCACUUUCACCUAGUAAAAUAAUAGUAAUAAUAAUAACAAAAAAGAACUUUGGAUUCUGGGACAGAACCAGGAUUUGAACUUAGGGGGGGGCGAAAGCAUGAACCAAAAAAAUUUCAAGUGACAUGGUUUAUUAAAAAAAAAAAAAAAAAUCAUGGUAGACAAAAUAAUUGCACUUUAUUACCAUAAAUAUUUAAGUCAAGAAAGAAAUAAUAUGAACCAAAAAAGUUCAAAGUUACAAUAUGAUAUUCAAACCUUUUUGGAGAAGAAUAAAAAAAGAAGAGGACUUUGGAUCUCCAAAUUUUGAAUAAUUAGAAUUAAUAUGUUGAUUUUAUCACAUUGACCAACUCACCAAUAUGAUAAACUCAUACUUUUUGAUGCAACUAAAAAUCACACUAAUGAAGUUUUCAAAACUUUGUUUGAGGAUUUUAAAAAAUUGGGAUAUUAAUAGUAAGAGUUGGCAAUGCUACAUCAUCAAUAUUGGCUUCUAAAAGAAUUUUGCAUUUUAUCUUUUGAAAAAAAUUUAAAUAUUGUAAUUGAUUUUCCCAUAAUUUAUAAAUCAAUUAAAAAGUUAUAUAAAUUAUUGUCACCCCCGUAAGGUAAUUUUUUUUUUCUAUAAGAUUUUUUUGGUUAUGAGUUAUUGAAUUAUGAGAUUAAUGAUUUGUGGAUUUUUUGUUGUAUUGUAUUUGGACUGUGGAAGGACCAUGGGUACAAAGAAAGGGUUAAGCGAUUAGUUUCUUUUGGGCUAUUUGGACUAAUCUAAAAAUUUGGAGAGGGCCAAUUAUAAACUCUAAAAUAAAAUAGCUAAAAAAAUUUCUCUAAAAAAAAAAAAAAAGCUAAUUUGAGGGCCACCCCCACCCCCCCUAAAUGGGUCCGUCCCUGUUUGGAUUAUGUUAUAUCAGGUUGUGCAAGAAGAAUGUGGCCAAAUAAUUUUGCACCUUCCAUGCACCUCAAUCAUUAACGGCCAAUUUGUCCAAUUUGUUUGUUUAUAUCCAUGAAGACACAGUUUACUCUUUUCACAUUCCCAUCUUUAUUUCUUUCUUUCUUUAUUUAUUUUUUAUUAUUAUUAUUUUUUAAUCUAAUCAUUUCAUUCUCUCUCUCUCUCUCUCUCUCUCUCAGUGACAGAUAUAACAAAGGCUACAAGAAUUUGUUUUGUGUUUCUAUUGUGAGGUGUAAGUCAUUAGUCAUGUGUUGCAUGUGAAGAGCACCUAAAGUCUAAAACAUCAAAUCACCCCAGAUCUAUUACUUGGCUUAUUAUGCACCUUGUUUCACUGAUUAAUAUAUAUAUAUAUCAUGUGUUUAACUUUUUUUUUUCCCCUCUUUUAAUUCUUUGGUUACCUUAAAAGGAAAAAAAGAAAAAAGAUAUGUAGAAAGAUAGUAAUUAGCGGAAUAUAAAAUGAAAUAUCUACCAAAAAAAAAAAAAGACACGUAAAAAGAUAGUAAUUGAAGCAAGAUAAAAUGAAGCAUCUAUAACAGGAAAGAGGAAUUUUACAACAAAGAUAAACGUGAAGAGAACAAACAACAUUUACUUCUGUUUUUAUUGCGUCUUAAUUAAAUUACAAACAUAUGGUAACUGGUAAUUUUCCAAAUAAGUUAUUAAUAGGUUGCCUAGUUUUAUAUAUGGUUUCAAACUCACAAGCAGAUGGAUUUACUCUCUUUCUCUGUGUGUAUAUAUAGAUUCUAAUCUCUGUCUCUGUCUCUGUCUGUGUCUUUCACUCUGUACCUCAGCCAAAACUAAACAUGGGUUUUGUAACUCAGAGAUUGUGUUCCAUCCUUGCGACCUUCUUGGUGAUUUUUUCAUGUCUCUGUGUAGCAAACUCAGAACAAUAUCAUAGCAACCAUGUGAAGUCGAGGAAACAAUUACAAGAAAAAAGUUGUAAUGUUUAUGAAGGGACUUGGGUGUUUGACAAUUCAUACCCUCUAUAUGACUCUACAGCUUGCCCUCAUAUCCGCAAGGAAUUUGAUUGCCAAAAGUAUGGUCGACCUGACAGUCUCUACCUCAAAUAUAGAUGGCAGCCCAAGGAAUGUGACAUACCCAGGUACUCUUUUUCUCUCUCUGUGCAGUGUGUGUGUGUGUGUUAGGUUGCUUAAAUUUUUCUCUGCUUAUUUGUCAAUGGCUUAUUGGAGUAGUGAGGGGCUGUUUGGGAGUGUAACUAGAAUAACCGUCUUCAGUGUUUAAACAACAUUAAACGUAUUUUCAUAUAUAUUUUUACCCUACACGUAUUUUCAAAAUAUAUAACCAAUAUUACUAUAACAACGUUAUCAACGGAAGAAAUGAGUUCAAAUCCUGGCUUUGUUUUUAAUGGGACAUGGGGAAAAGGAAUUUAGGAUUUUAAGGAAAAAGCCUGUACUAUAUUAACUUUAAAAAGUUACUCUGUGCCCUAUUAGGCAUGUGAUUGGCUGCACAUACCAAGUAUUUAUCAAUCUUAUAGGAAUUGGCUGCUUUUUAAAAAUUUGUUUUUCUUUUUCUUUUUUCUCUUAAAUAUUAUUAAUUGCGAUACUUUUUCAUUAUAUAAUUGUAUUUUUGUUUAAUUUAUUUUUUAAGUAAAAUAAAUUAUACUGAACCAACACUAAAUUUUGAUGACUCUUAGACUUUAGACUGGAGGACUUUCUGGCAUAUAUUUGUACCAUUUUUUUGCAGCCUCACGGGGCAGUUGCCUUUGUUGACCUUUAAAAGUUCACUCGAAUCACUUUUUUAUGAGGAGAUAUGUUUUUUAUUCGAAAAUGAUUGCCUCUAGAAAACUGCCAUUCUUUCAUGGUUGUACCAUAUCCAUGAAAGGAACUCCAAGUGGAUGGAAUUGAAACACAUGGAAAGGCAUUUAUUGAGAUAGAAUUUUUUUUUUUUAAUGUUAACUUUCCUAUACUCUCUUAAAUACUGUUUAAUUUAGCUAAAAAUUAGGGGUUUUUAAAUUACUAAUUUUACAUGUUUAGCCUUAUAAUUUAAUUUAAGUCUUAGAAAUUGAUAAAUUUGAAAGUAUUUUGGGCAUUUAAAAUGAGAUUCCAAAUAAGGGAAGUCUCUUAAGGUAAUUAUUGAGUAUUUUCAGAGUACCAUAAAUACGUACUCCCUCUCACAUAACUGUAUGUUCCACUAGUUAAAUUUAUGAUGAGACUCACAAUUCAUGUGAGGAGGGAAUCUACAUUUAUGGUACUCCUAAAGUAUUCAAUAAUUUUCUAUUAAAUAUUAAUAUAGGUAUAUAUAGUGACUAGCAUUUGAGGUAAGAUUUGACAUACAAGACAAUAGGAAGGAACAAAAAAGCAAUCUAUGGCCGACACAUAUCUUCCAUCCUGCUCAGUUUCAAAGAUAGAAUGUGAUCCUCAAAUAUUUCUAUCAUACAAUGAAGAAAAUCCUAAAUUACCCCUAACAUGUACUAAAUAUUAAUUAAUAAAUAAAUUAGAAGGACGACUAAUAAGGACAAGAAAAAAAAAAAUAAAGUGAAGAAAUAAAAUAAAAAGUCCUUAAAACAGUAUAGGAUUUGAAUCUAUGAAAUUAUUUUGAACAAACUUUUACACAACGAAGACAUUAUUACUUUGUAAAUCUUCUUUUUUAUAUGAAAACCCAAUGAAAGGACACACAUGGCUAAUUAGCCUUGAAAAUAUUUAUCUGUGCUUGUAGAAAAAAUUAAUUAGCUUUCCUAACAUCUAAGACAUCAUCAUCGUCUUUUUCUUCUACUUCUUCUUCUCCUCUGUUUUUGUUUUUACCUAGGCUUUGUAAGACAAACAUCCUAAGCACGUAAUUUAGUUUGUCUCAUAAAUUCGUUGCCAAAAAAACAGUUGAAUUAGUUUCUUACUUUUCGUUUUUUGUUUUUUUGUUUUUUGGAUUUAUGCUUGUUGUUAAGUGUUACUAAUAAUAGAACCAUGUUUCCUACUGGGAAAACAUUGCAGAUUUGAUGGUCAAGAUUUUUUACAGAGAUUAAAGGGGAAGAAAAUUAUGUUUGUAGGGGACUCCAUUAGUGUCAACCAGAGGGAAUCACUAGUAUGUUUGCUUCAUGCUGCUGUGCCUGAUUCCAAAAUCAUAGAGGAGAGCAAUCCCCUGUAUUCUAAUACAACAUUCGAGGUAAAUGAACUAGCUAGAACAAGUAAUUUUCAUUAGCUUUUCUUAUUCUCAUGAAGUUAAUAAUUAGGUUUAAUAUAUUAUUUGAUUGUUGGUAUCACCCAAGGUUAAGACUAGCAUGGUAAAAAUGUUUCAACUAGCAUACUAAUAAUGUUUCAAUAAAAAGGUUGAAAUCAAUACAAAAAAACUCCUACUUCUAUGAAAUCUGAAAGUGAGAGGUAUGAUUGGUAGGUUGUUUAAUCCCUCACUUUUUCAAAGAGAUUGACUAGUACUAGGGACGGAGCUAUUGCUGGACGUGGGGGAAGGGGCAAUGGACCCCCUAGAUUUUUUUUUUUUUUUUUUUAAAUUUUAGUAUAUAUGUAGUAUAUUAUUUUUCACAAUUUGUUUCAAUAAAAUUGCACUUUGCCCCUCUCAACAAUAUUAUUGAUAUUUUUAAAAGCUAUAAAAAAAAUAAUAGCCCAACUACACCCCAAAACACACAAGUGAAAAAAUAAAAAUCAAAGCCGAUUCUAACUAGGAAUAGGAGAACACCCAAUAGCAAGACACAAAUAUAAAAGGGAAAAAGAAGGGGAUUUCUAAGCCACUCAAAAAAAAAAAAAUUAAAGAAAAUAAAAUCUAACAUAAGGUAGAACACAAAAGACAAGCAGAAUAGCAGAAGUAGAGGUUGACUAGCACACCAUGCCUAACACCACCGGCCACCACCAGUCCACCGCAGCACUGCCCAAACUUGGCAAUUUUUUUAGAUGAGAAUAUUGUAUCCCUCUCAUAUCUGAAUCUCUAAUGCUUGUUUGAUUAACUUAGAUUGUGAUUUGCGAAGAAAAUUUAAAGAGAGGCAUAGAUGAGAGAUAGAAGAGAGUCAAGAGACUAGGGGUCCGUAUGGUAAAAGAUUUUUAGUAACGUUGUCUAAGUUUUGUGAAAAUACUUGUGACUGAAAAAGUGUAUAGAAAUACAUGUUAUGGUGUUUAAACAAAAGUUUUCGUUGUUUAAACUCCGUUACCAAACAAGGCCUAGAAGAUACUAGAGAGAAAGAGUGAAAAAGAAGGAGUGAAAGAGAGAGAUAAACUUCUAAGUCUCUGUCUUAUCUUUCUCUUUCUUUCUUUAAUAACAAUAUAUAUAUAUAUAUAUAUAUUAUGAAUAGAAAAGCUUUCCAGUGACUCCAAUCCACUAUUUUGAUAAUCAAAAUGUGUUUUCAGUUUUCAUAACUCAUUACUCAAAAAUCAAAGAAUUGAGUGAUGAAAACAAAAAUUGGAAACAAAUCCAAAUAGAGUUUUUUUUUUUUUUUUUGGUGAGACCCACAUAUUUUGAGUUAUGAGUGAUGAAAACAGAGUUAUGAGUUAUGGAAACAGCAAAUCCAAAUAGCCCCUAAACAUGCAACAUCUAAUGCCCAACAAUUCAACAUGUCAACACCUAUUCACCUAAUGCCUAGCAUUUCAACUUCAACACGUCAACACCUAAUCCUAAUGCCCAGCAGUCCAACAAUUCAAUAUGUCAACCCCAAUAUGUAGUGCUUUUCUUUUGUCUAUUAGCGUUUUUGUAAUUGUAUAUUAGUUUAGUAUCUUUUAAAAAAUUAAAGAGAUGUUUUUUUUGGUAAAUAAUUAAAGAGAUUAUUUGCAACUUUAAAAGUUAUUAGUUAAUUGUUGAGUGCUUGUGUGCAUAGUACUUGUUUGUUGUGUAUAAUGAUUGCAUUGUAAUAUCUUAAAAACAAUAAUUUUGUGUAUUUUUCUUUGUUGAAGGUUUAUUAAAUAAAUGUUUAUUUGGAGUUUCAAUUUUUUUUUUUUUUUUGGUAUAUACUUUCCCCCCCCAAACUCCAACUCCAAGUCUCCGUCCAUGACUAGUACAAUCAAAUAUAUAAAAUAAAACCUGUUAUUGAUUUCCAAUCCAUAAGUAGUAAGAAAUGAUUAGAAAUUUUAAGUUAGGUACUUGAAUGCAUUAGUGUAUAUAAUAAAUUGAAAGUUUUCCAUUGAUUUUGAGCAAUAUAAUGCCUAAGAAUUGGACUGAACUGUACAGGACUAUGGAGUUUCAAUUCUACUAUUUUUAACUCACUACUUAGUGGACAUCGAAGAAGAACAAAUUGGUCGAGUGUUAAAGCUCGAUUCUCUGAAAAAUGGCAACAUAUGGAAAGAUAUGGAUGUUCUGGUUUUCAACACUUGGCUUUGGUGGUACCGUAGUGGACCUGCACAACCGUAUGAGCUUUAUAAAAUCAUGCAUUUUUGUAUCAAUUUUAUGAGAAUAACAAUAAGCAGGAUGUGAGUUUAAAAUAUGCUUGUGAUUGCCUUAUUAUUGAUCGUAGAUGGGAUUAUAUUGAAGAUGGUGGCAAGGUUCUCAAGGACAUGGAUCGUAUGGAUGCUUUUCGCAAGGCUUUGACAACUUGGGGCAGGUGGGUUGAUACAGAUGUGGAUCCAGGAAAAACUAAAGUCUUUUUUCAAGGAAUUAGUCCACAACAUUACAAGUAAGUUACUUCCCUUUCUCCAAAGGACAAAGCUUGGUCAUAAACUAGUUUGUAGACAAUUGCUAUAAACUCCUAUUAAUAAGUUAACGCAGUUACAUAUAUUGAAAAUUUAAUUAUUUAAUUGCAUGUUUUUUAUGUUCUUAACAUAUAUGUUAAAUUUCAUUCAAAUUAUAUGUUAUAUUUACUAUUCAAUCAUAAACUUAUUUGUUAUGUAUAUUUAAGACUACAAAAACUUAAAAUUUAAACAUUUGAUUGAUGACAUAACUUUUAAUCUUUGAUUUUCAUGAAAUUUUGCAAAUAGAGAAUAUAAUAUGGAAAUGCAAUCUAAUAGUAGAUUUGUCAAAAUCCAUAUCCAAUUAAAAAAAAAAAAAAAAGUUGGCUUGAAAGUUUAGGUAAGUUCUAUUUCGGUCCUUUAAUCUAAAAGUUGUGAUUUGGUUCCUAAAAUUUCAAAACGGGAACAAUUUCAUCUCUUUGUUCAUAGGAUCAGUUUGAUAUUGGUUCUUGAAAUAUGUUGUUCGUUCAAUUUUGGUGUCUUGGUUUUCUUGAUUUGGUCCCUCAAAAAUGGGGUGCUUCUAUAUACCAUAAGCCACAUAAAUAGAAAAAUAAACAGAGCGACCAUAUUAUUCUAUUUUCAAAAUUUUGAGGACUAAAAAAAAUAUUUUAUAUUUGAAGGAUCAAAAUUGGACCUACACCAAACUUUAUGAUUAAUCCAAUUUUGAAAACUGACAUUGCAUUAGCAAAUCAUAGUUUGAUGACUGUUUGUUUCUUGUGUAAAAAUUAGUGGCACUGAUUGGAAUGAGCCAGGAGUGACAAACUGUGCAAAGGAGACAACACCAAUAAACGGGUCAACUUACCCAACUGGUUUGCCAACAGCAGAAUAUGUAGUGAAAGAUGUCUUAAGUACAAUAGAGAAACCUGUUCAGUUGUUUGACAUAACCACUCUCUCGCAACUAAGAAAAGAUGCACAUCCUAGCUCUUAUAAUGCAUUCAAGGGCAUGGAUUGCACCCAUUGGUGUGUUGCAGGGCUUCUAGACACCUGGAAUCAACUUUUAUAUGUAGCUCUCACUAAUUGA
rnacentral:sRNA from 1 species